rnacentral:rRNA from 1 species
GCAAGUCGAGCGGUAACAGAAAGUAGCUUGCUACUUUGCUGACGAGCGGCGGACGGGUGAGUAAUGCUUGGGAACAUGCCUUGAGGUGGGGGACAACAGUUGGAAACGACUGCUAAUACCGCAUAAUGUCUACGGACCAAAGGGGGCUUCGGCUCUCGCCUUUAGAUUGGCCCAAGUGGGAUUAGCUAGUUGGUGAGGUAAUGGCUCACCAAGGCGACGAUCCCUAGCUGGUUUGAGAGGAUGAUCAGCCACACUGGGACUGAGACACGGCCCAGACUCCUACGGGAGGCAGCAGUGGGGAAUAUUGCACAAUGGGCGCAAGUCUGAUGCAGCCAUGCCGCGUGUGUGAGGAAGGCCUUCGGGUUGUAAAGCACUUUCAGUCAGGAGGAAAGGUUAGUAGUUAAUACCUGCUAGCUGUGACGUUACUGACAGAAGAAGCACCGGCUAACUCCGUGCCAGCAGCCGCGGUAAUACGGAGGGUGCGAGCGUUAAUCGGAAUUACUGGGCGUAAAGCGUACGCAGGCGGUUUGUUAAGCGAGAUGUGAAAGCCCCGGGCUCAACCUGGGAACUGCAUUUCGAACUGGCAAACUAGAGUGUGAUAGAGGGUGGUAGAAUUUCAGGUGUAGCGGGUGAAAUGCGUAGAGAUCUGA